AGAGGAGGGGAGAGGCGAGGAGGGAAGAAAGGGAGGAAGGGUUGGCCACUAGAGGUUGUCACAGCAUCACCUCUGACCAUUGCUGUGUUUCAGUUCAGGGUCUGCGUCCUUCGGUGGACCCGGCCUUUGCGGUCAUCGAAGGCGAGUCCUUCGGAGAGACCUGCGAGGCCGCGUAAACCGUUGUUAAAUGGGACGGUCUAGCCCUCGGGAGUAUUUCCUGGCUGCGUCAACAGUUUUUUCCGUCCCUACCGAUGCGUCACUAUUUAUGCAGCCCAGGUCCGCGAAAGUGACAAGAAGAGUACAGUUUGACUAUCAAAUAUGUUUGGGCUACAGGAAUUCCUGAUUUCGUGUUUAAUCCUUCUUGUGGAGGAAAAGGAAAAGCGUCUCUGGUUUAUCUCCUUUUGAGAGAGGACCAUGGAGAGGAAAUGUGUUGCUGAGAUUCACAGUUCACACACUUCUGUACACCUUUGUCACCAGUUCCCGGUCCAAGUUCAUCCAGUUCUGCUCGACUCCUACCCUGCACUGCCUCUGCCACCUCGCAGUCAAGCGUCAUUGAGUCCAUCUUUGGCCCAGCUCCGACGCUGAAGUGAACUAAAAUUUACAAACUGAAAAACUAAAUUGAAAUAAAAACAAAUGAAAAUUGUAAAACUAUAAUAGCCCUGACACACACUACUCACUCCAUUCUUCAUUGUUUGAGCUGCUCUAUGAAUGGCAAUACAUUUGGUCAAGUAAUUCUGGGACCACACAUUUCCUUACUUUUUCAUACUUCAUGUAGGUUUUAGGUUUAGUUCAAAAGGGCCUUAAAAUGGUCUUAAAAAGUCUUAAAUUUGACUUGUUCAAACCUGCAGAAACCCUGUCCUAUUUAAAGUGUUUGGUGUAUAGUUGUGUUUGUAUUUUAGUUAUUAUUAUUAUUAUUAUUAUUAUUAUUAUUAUUAUUAUUAUUAUUAUUAUUAUUAUUAUUAUUAUUAAUCAUAAUAAUCAUAAUAAUAAAAAAAUAUAAUUCUUUCCUCUUUCUUAAAAAAUUCUUAGUGUCAUGACAGACUUCAAUCGAGAACCAGAACUGCAAACCCAGUUGAUGGACGAUGUGGAAAGACAGUGGUGACUAGACCCCAAGCACCCUGAGUACUGACCCAGAUGACGGCCUACUGACAACAAGGUCUUUACUGUGGCAUCCCAUCCAGCCCAGCAGCACUGCCAAGGACUCCUGUUCAGCCUAUAACUGUCCAUCAUUUGGAACUGCUUUAAUAUUGUUUUUAUAAUUGUUUGAGUUCAUUGUUGAUAAUAAUCAUAUUACAGUUUUUUUUGAUUGCAUAAACACUAAAAUCAAACGUCGUACACAAUUAUGAAAACCUUACACUCAAGGAGCAAAACUCCGGACCAGAUUAGCACAACUAUAAGCACAAUGUCAGCAUCACACUUUUUGCAAAUGACUGCACACAGUAAUUUGCAAAACACUAAACGCACUUGUGUACAUUAGACACAGAUGCAUAUCAUGAUGUCACUUCCUUGCAAAUUCCAAAGCACUGACUUUCAAAUGACCACACUCAUUAUCUAAUUGGUUAAACACAACACUCAGGUUCACCAACACAUGAUUGCUUGAUUGUAGACACACCAAUCAGGUUCAAGCACUACAAAAAGCCUUCCACCACAAUGGAACGAGUAAGACGAGGAGGAGUAAGAAUGAGAGGAGGAAUUCAAAGAGAAGGAGAAGGAGGUGAAGGCAGAGGCCAUGCCAGGUGGAGGAAGAGGAAGAGGACGAGGCAGAGGAAGACCGGAAGCAGGAAUACAUGCCCUAUGAAGGAGAGGACCAAAUUUAUCAAAUGAAAUUCGGGCAGCAUUAUUUGAACAUGUGGUGAACCACGGACUGACGCUGAGGGAGGCUGGACUGAGAGUUCAGCCAAAUCUUAGCAGAUAUAUAGUGGCAUCUGUGAUCAGGACAUUUCAACAAGAAAACAGGAUUCAGGUUCGAGAGUGACAAGGAGGGAAGGGGCCUUUUUUCAGACAAGAACAAGAAAGAGCAAUCACAAACAUGGUUGUGGCCAAUAUGCAAUAACUCUCGGAGAAAUUCACGGCAGUUCUUCCCUCGUUGUCUUGCUAAUGAAGAUAUCGCCUGUGAUAUCGACGAAAUUCUCUGGCCUGAUCCAGCUUGGCGAGAUAAUCCCUAAUAUUUUCCCUGCUGGAUUUUCUUUUCUUUUUUUGUCAGUACCUAGUAAAUAAAUAAUAUUUUCAUCACUCUUCA